UACGAAGGGGGCUAGCGUUGCUCGGAAUCACUGGGCGUAAAGGGUGCGUAGGCGGGUCUUUAAGUCCGGGGUGAAAUCCUGGAGCUCAACUCCAGAACUGCCUUUGAUACUGAGGAUCUUGAGUUCGGGAGAGGUGAGUGGAACUGCGAGUGUAGAGGUGAAAUUCGUAGAUAUCCGGAGGAACACCGGCGGCGAAGGCGGCUUCCUGGACCGACACUGACGCUGAGGCGCGAAAGCUAGGGGAGCAAACGGG
rnacentral:rRNA from 1 species